rnacentral:miRNA from 1 species
UUUGUUUAUGGUCAUCUAAGC